GGACUACCGGGGUAUCUAAUCCUGUUUGCUCCCCACGCUUUCGCGCCUCAGCGUCAGUUACAGACCAGAAAGUCGCCUUCGCCACUGGUGUUCCUCCAAAUCUCUACGCAUUUCACCGCUACACUUGGAAUUCCACUUUCCUCUUCUGCACUCAAGUUUCCCAGUUUCCAAUGACCCUCCCCGGUUGAGCCGGGGGCUUUCACAUCAGACUUAAGAAACCGCCUGCGCGCGCUUUACGCCCAAUAAUUCCGGACAACGCUUGCCACCUACGUAUUACCGCGGCUGCUGGCAC
rnacentral:rRNA from 1 species